rnacentral:rRNA from 1 species
GACGAACGCUGGCGGCGUGCUUAACACAUGCAAGUCGAACGGAAAGGCCCUGCUUUUGUGGGGUGCUCGAGUGGCGAACGGGUGAGUAACACGUGAGUAACCUGCCCUUGACUUUGGGAUAACUUCAGGAAACUGGGGCUACUACCGGAUAGGAGCUCCUGCUGCAUGGUGGGGGUUGGAAAGUUUCGGCGGUUGGGGAUGGACUCGCGGCUUAUCAGCUUGUUGGUGGGGUAGUGGCUUACCAAGGCUUUGACGGGUAGCCGGCCUGAGAGGGUGACCGGACACAUUGGGACUGAGAUACGGCCCAGACUCCUACGGGAGGCAGCAGUGGGGAAUAUUGCACAAUGGGCGGAAGCCUGAUGCAGCAACGCCGCGUGCGGGAUGACGGCCUUCGGGUUGUAAACCGCUUUCGCCUGUGACGAAGCGUGAGUGACGGUAAUGGGUAAAGAAGCACCGGCUAACUACGUG